UAUGUUGGGCAUUAAUUUUUUAUCACACGUAUUCGAUUUCCGCUCGGCAAGUCUCUCGCUACCAUUCAAUAGACUACCUCUUCUAACCAUGACCAGCCAUUUAUUCAAAGGUUUAUCAAGAUUUUCUUCGACAUUUCCACCAGCUGCUGGUUCAGUUCAUUAAAAGUUCCGUUUAUUCAAAACCUUUUGAAAUAUGCAACAAAGGACAAAUACUCUGCAACAAGGGGCCGCAUCUCGCAAGAAGCCGCAAGUCUCUCAUCAAUUUUCAUUCAAUUGCUUCAAGAUAGUACAAUCAUUGGGAUUAUUUAAGCCUCAAUAAAUAGAUUUAUGGAGUAAUAAUAUGUACUUUAAAAGAAGAAAUUCUCGUUGUAGUUUUGUCAACGCCACAAACGAAGAAUAAUGUUUACGAAGCUGAAAGCCACAUGUUAAUGUUGAGCAGUAAAAGAAAAUUUAUGGUUUACUGAUUGAGAAAGAUCUGUAAGGCUACUAAUAACUUGCGAUUUCUCUUGCAUAAAAAGGAAUGAACAACUAUAAUUUUAAAAGUAUAGUUUUUCACAGACGGUUUUUUUAUUGUGAAAUAUUCUGUCUAAUGCGAAAAGUUGUCCAUCUACAACAAAAUUCGCGGUAAAAGAGAUUAACCACAUAUCAAUGCUUUAUAAAAAGUCAACUUGGGAGAUUAGAGAAAGCUGUUAAGGCGUGGCACGAAUCGAAAAUUUUAAAUUUUUUUUAUGAAUUUAAACUAUUGUAAUGUGUAUGAAUGAAUUUGAUUGGUUUUGCAAUAAAAUUUAAAUUGACGUUGCAGUUUUGCAGCAA